UGCAGGGUGGAUUAGUGGUUAGCGCCUCACAAGUCCAGGUCGGGGGUUCGAGUCCCGCCGCUGCCC